UGGGUGAGUAACGCGUUGGUAACCUGCCCUUAAGUCUGGGAUACCAUUUGGAAACAGAUGCUAAUACCGGAUAAAAGCUACUUUCGCAUGAAAGAAGUUUAAAAGGCGGCGUAAGCUGUCGCUAAAGGAUGGACCUGCGAUGCAUUAGCUAGUUGGUAAGGUAACGGCUUACCAAGGCGAUGAUGCAUAGCCGAGUUGAGAGACUGAUCGGCCACAUUGGGACUGAGACACGGCCCAAACUCCUACGGGAGGCAGCAGGU
rnacentral:rRNA from 1 species